rnacentral:rRNA from 1 species
CACGUAGGGUGCGAGCGUUGUCCGGAAUUAUUGGGCGUAAAGAGCUCGUAGGCGGUGUGUCGCGUCGGCCGUGAAAACCUGCAGCUUAACUGUGGGCUUGCGGUCGAUACGGGCAUCACUGGAGUUCGGCAGGGGAGACUGGAAUUCCUGGUGUAGCGGUGAAAUGCGCAGAUAUCAGGAGGAACACCAGUGGCGAAGGCGGUUGCCUGGAGCUUUGCUGACGCUGAUGCGCGAAAGCGUGGGGAGCGAUCCGG